UUUAAAUAUUUUCCCCCCUAGAUUGCAUUAUCAACUCCAUUUUGAAAAAUUCUGAUUGCAUCUAUACAUAUUUGGUUGAUCAUAUGGUGAACUGUGUUUGAGGCCUGAAAAUUGUGAAGUCUUGUUGUUUGAAUGACCAGUAGGUUAUCAGUUUCCUGCUGUAAUUUUUCUGAUUUGAAUACAUUAACAGAUAAGGAAAUUGAAUGAUCUAUCAUUUCUUAAUGUCAUGCUGUGGGUAAUCCGUUGAUUAAAUGAUAAGAAUUCUGAAGUUCCUAACUAAAAAUUACUUCAGGAGUUUGUUGGAUUCCAUUCUUAAGGAAAAGUUUAAAUCAUGAGUUAGAUGAGAUGAUCUAUUAUUGUGGUUUCUUAUGUGUCUCAAAACAUAAGCAAU
rnacentral:misc_RNA from 1 species